rnacentral:rRNA from 1 species
GGGCCCGCACAAGCGGUGGAGCAUGUGGUUUAAUUCGAUGCAACGCGAAGAACCUUACCAGGGUUUGACAUAGUACGAAGUUUUUUGAAAAAAAACCACCUUCGGGAACGUACAUACAGGUGGUGCAUGGCUGUCGUCAGCUCGUGUCGUGAGAUGUUGGGUUAAGUCCCGCAACGAGCGUAACCCUUGUUUUUAGUUGCCUUUCGAGGAUAUUUAGAAAGACUGCCGAUUAUAAAUCGGAGGAAGGUGGGGAUGACGUCAAGUCCUCAUGGCCUUUAUAUCCAGGGCUACACACGUGUUACAAUGGGGGUCACAAAGGGCAGCGAAACGGUGACGUGGAGCGAAUCCCAAAAAGCCCUCUCAGUUCGGAUCGCAGUCUGCAACUCGACUGCGUGAAGCUGGAAUC